UACGGGGGGGGCAAGCGUUGUUCGGAAUUACUGGGCGUAAAGGGCGCGUAGGCGGUUCGCUAAGUUGGAUGUGAAAACUCUGGGCUCAACCCAGAGCCUGCAUCCAAAACUGGCGGGCUAGAGUUCUGGAGGGGGUAGCGGAAUUCCUGGUGUAGCGGUGAAAUGCGUAGAUAUCGGGAGGAACACCGGUGGCGAAGGCGGCGACCUGGGUAGAUACUGACGCUGAGGUGCGAAAGCGUGGGGAGCAACAGG
rnacentral:rRNA from 1 species